AGGUAUUGCCUGCCCUGUGACAUAAACUGUUUAACGGCCGCGGUAUCCUGACCGUGCCAAGGUAGCGCAAUCACUUGUCUUUUAAAUGAAGACCUGUAUGAAUGGCAUAACGAGGGCUAAGCUGUCUCCUUUUUCCAGUCAAUGAAAUUGAUCUCCCCGUGCAGAAGCGGGGAUGGCCCCAUAAGACGAGAAGACCCUAUGGAGCUUUAGACACCAAACAGAUUUUGUAAAACCUUCCCCCCUCACACGGGAACGAACAAAAAACACCUGUCCUAAUGUCUUUGGUUGGGGCGACCGCGGGGAAACAAAAAACCCCCACGUGGAACGGAGACACCUUCCCCUGAAAUAAGAGUUACAACUCUAACUAGCAGAACUUCUGACCUUAUGAUCCGGCAUACGCCGAUCAACGAACCGAGUUACCCUAGGGAUAACAGCGCAAUCCUCUUUUAGAGCCCAUAUCGACAAGAGGGUUUACGACCUCGAUGUUGGAUCAGGACAUCCUAAUGGUGCAGCCGCUAUUAAGGGUUCGUUUGUUCAACGAUUAAAGUCCUACGUGAUCUGAGUUCAGACCGG
rnacentral:rRNA from 1 species